rnacentral:rRNA from 1 species
AAUACAUAGUGGCGCACGGGUGAGUAACGCGUGGGUAAUGUGCCCUAAAGUGGGGGAUAACCAGUCGAAAGACUGGCUAAUACCGUAUAAGACCACGAGAGCUGCGGCUCUUGAGGUAAAAGUUUUUCGCUUUAGGAUCAGCCCGCGUAGGAUUAGCUAGUUGGUGAGGUAAUGGCUCACCAAGGCGACGAUCUUUAACUGGUCUGAGAGGAUGAUCAGUCACACUGGAACUGAGACACGGUCCAGACUCC